AUGAAAGGAAAUUGAAAGGGAGUUGAAAAGAGCUUGAAAAGAAAAUGCUGCAAAUUGUGAUGGCAAAGCAACUUAAUGUCUCAUUCUAGGGAAAUUAAAUAGCUCCUUGGGACUCUAUGACCUCAUUGCUUCAUCCGUGUGAGGCCUCAAAAGUUUAAAAGUCGUAUAGACAUUAUAAUUGAUCUUGGUUAACUA
rnacentral:rRNA from 14 species